rnacentral:tRNA from 1 species
GCUCCGGUGGUGUAGUCCGGUCAAAUUAGUUGAGGUCAACUUGACUAAGACAAGUCAUUCAGCCCUUUCGAGGCUGAGACCCGAGUUCAAAUCUCGGCCGGAGCA